rnacentral:rRNA from 1 species
UACGUAGGGGGCAAGCGUUGUCCGGAAUCAUUGGGCGUAAAGCGCGUGUAGGCGGUCCGGUAAGUCGGCUGUGAAAGUCCAGGGCUCAACCCUGGGAUGCCGGUCGAUACUGCCGGACUAGAGUUCGGAAGAAGCGAGUGGAAUUCCCGGUGUAGCGGUGAAAUGCGCAGAUAUCGGGAGGAACACCAAUGGCGAAGGCAGCUCGCUGGGACGUUACUGACGCUGAGACGCGAAAGCGUGGGGAGCAAACAGG